rnacentral:rRNA from 1 species
CAGUAGCCACGGGAAAACGGAGGGUGCAAGCGUUAAUCGGAAUUACUGGGCGUAAAGCGUGCGUAGGCGGUUCGUUAAGUCUGUUGUGAAAGCCCCGGGCUCAACCUGGGAAUGGCAAUGGAUACUGGCGAGCUAGAGUGUGUCAGAGGAUGGUGGAAUUCCCGGUGUAGCGGUGAAAUGCGUAGAGAUCGGGAGGAACAUCAGUGGCGAAGGCGGCCAUCUGGGACAACGCUGACGCUGAGGCACGAAAGCGUGGGGAGCAAACAGGAUUAGAUACCCCGGUAGUCCCUGUCUCUUAUAC